rnacentral:rRNA from 1 species
UACGUAGGGUGCGAGCGUUAAUCGGAAUUACUGGGCGUAAAGCGUGCGCAGGCGGUUUGUUAAGACAGAUGUGAAAUCCCCGGGCUUAACCUGGGAACUGCAUCUGUGACUGCAUAGCUAGAGUACGGUAGAGGGGGAUGGAAUUCCGCGUGUAGCAGUGAAAUGCGUAGAUAUGCGGAGGAACACCGAUGGCGAAGGCAAUCCCCUGGACCUGUACUGACGCUCAUGCACGAAAGCGUGGGGAGCAAACAGG